GCUUAGUAGUAGAGUGCUUGCCUAGCAUGCAUGAAGCACUGGGUUGGAUUCUUCAGUACCACAUACACAGAAAAAGCCAGAAAUUGCACUACGGCUCAAGUGGAAGAAUGCUAGCCUUGAGCAAAAAGAAGCCAGGGACAGUGCUCAGGCCCUGAG